UACGUAGGGUGCAAGCGUUGUCCGGAAUUAUUGGGCGUAAAGCGCGUGUAGGCGGCUUUGCAAGUCGGGUGUGAAAGCCCUCAGCUCAACUGAGGAAGUGCGCCCGAAACUGCAUGGCUUGAAUACCGGAGAGGAUGGCGGAAUUCCCCAAGUAGAGGUGAAAUUCGUAGAUAUCGGGAGGAACACCAGUGGCGAAGGCGGCGAUCUGGGAAGAUACUGACGCUGAGGUGCGAAAGCGUGGGGAGCAAACAGG
rnacentral:rRNA from 1 species